UCAGGCAACUAACUGAACGCGGAGAUGUCGGCGAGGGCUCUGGGAAGAGUUGUCUUUUCUUCUUGAUGGCCUAUCACCCUGAAAUCGGUUUGUCCAGAGCUAGGGGGUUCAAAUGGCCGGCAGAGCUCCGCACCUUUGUGGGGUUCAGUGCACUCACUCCUGACAAUUCUUGAAAAUCUGUGGGAAGG
rnacentral:ncRNA from 1 species